rnacentral:rRNA from 1 species
GAAACCUGGGCUAAUACCGCAUACAGCACCGGCUUGGAAGCCGGAUGUGAAAGCUGGCCUCUCGAAGAAGCUGGCACCAUCGGAUGAGCUCGCGGCCUAUCAGCUAGUUGGUGGGGUAACGGCCUACCAAGGCGAUGACGGGUAGCUGGCGUGAGAGCGUGGCCAGCCACACUGGGACUGAGACACGGCCCAGACUCCUACGGGAGGCAGCAGUGGGGAAUAUUGCGCAAUGGGCGAAAGCCUGACGCAGCGACGCCGCGUGGGGGAGGAAGGCCUCAGGGUCGUAAACCCCUGUCAGGUGGGACGAACCACUGAUCGGUUAAUACCCGGGUCGGUCUGACGGUACCACCAGAGGAAGCUCCGGCUAACUCCGUGCCAGCAGCCGCGGUAAUACGGAGGGAGCUAGCGUUGUUCGGAAUCACUGGGCGUAAAGGGCGCGUANGCNGUCCGGGUAAGUCGAGUGUGAAAUUCCGGGGCUCAACCCCGCGAACUGCAUUCGAUACUGCUCGACUAA